AAGGAGAUGAAUGAAAGGAAGAAGAAAGAAGAGAAGGAGGAGGAAGAGAGGGACACGCCCUGGACCAGCCAGGCAGCAGGGCCCAAGAAGCAGUGAAAGUAAGAUAUGCAGAAGGAAGAAAAGGGAAAAUCUCCAAGGCAAAAUGUAAGUAAAGAGAAACAGGUUAAGUUAAAAGAGCUAGCCAGAAAUGAGCCUAAGCUAGGCUGAGCAUUCAUAACUAAUAAGAAGACUCAGUGUCAUAAUUUGGGAGCUGGUCGAUGGCCCAAAAGAAGAGGACCUACUGGACUCCAGUGAGAAAUCACAGAAAAUAUUAUAGAAAGCAAUGUGAACGUAAAAUUCUACCAGGAUGUGAAAGAACGUCGUAUGUAUGUGACCCGUAGCACAACCACAAGACCAGCAUCAGACAUUCUGGCCAAGGGAUAUUCCACAAAACACCUCACGGCACAUGCUUCUCUUCAGCCAGAGCUUCAGUGAGUACAGCCUGUGCCACUGUCCCCAAAGCACCGGAAUUACCUCUGUGGGGAAAGAGAAGGCAGAGAGAGGAGCACCAGGCUUGGGGAGCCUCUCUCUAGGCACUAAUCUCCCGUGAGGGCCUGUGUGAAGUUAGAUUUAAAGCUGCCAAGGCCAAUGGAGGAUCCAGCUGCUGUGUAGGAGAAAGUCUAACACCCUGAACGUUCCCAGAGCUUUCUCCAUGGAUGACUACAGAGCUUCUGAGGCUAUGGGUGGAGAUGGUGUGUGCUGACUAUUGUGGAGUACAUCUCUGUUCUCCUUCCCUUCCAGGACAGAGUGGUGUCAAGGGAGGACAGAGUUCUCCCACUGCCCUCAGAACUGAUGAUUUUAAUCAUGCAGGUCUAGAAGACACAAGUUCAGUCUUGGAGGCCUUUUCUCUUUGUUCAUUUCUUCUCCUUUGAGGUCAGGGCACAUACUGAUCAGUGGCAUUGGCAUCCCAACACAGUACUGGGUAAAAAACCAGGUCUAGGACACGGAAUCAAAGGGCACAAAUAGUUCAUCCCAGUGAAUGGUUAGUCCAGAUGCACUUAACUAGAACUCUGCCAGUAAAUCCAGGCUCCCUACUGGAAGUGGGGGUUUUGUUUUACUAUUCAACCUGAAUCUGCAGGCCAGGUCUACAUGAUCAUCCUAGUUGGCAUUAAUGCUUGACACAGUCCAGAGUCACCUGAGAAAGGAGUCUCAAUUGAGAGAUUGCCAAAUCUGCUCAGCCUGUAGAGAUAAGUCCGUGGGAUUGUCUCCAUGGUUGUAGAGGGUCCAGAACGCUGUAGGUGGUACAAUUCCCCAGACAGGUGGUCCUGGCCUGUAUAAGAAAUCUAGCUAAGAGGCCUGGAGAGACGUCUCUACUGUUAAGAGCACUUGGUGCUCUUGCAGAGGGCCCAGAUUUGAUACCAAGUAUUCACACGGUGACUCACAACUGCCUGUAACUCCAGUAUCAUGGGAUCCAAUGCCCUCUGGCCUCUGCAGGCACCUGCAUACAUGUAGUGCAUAUAAACUCUGUCUCACACAAGCACGAACACCUCACACACAUGCAUGCAUACACAUAUACACAUGUGCACACACACAUUUGUGCACACACAGAUGCAUGUGCAUAUAUACACACAUCAGUUAAAAAAACAAAACUUAGCAAAUUAUGAACAUGAGAUGGAGUCAGCAAGCAAUGUUCCUCCAUGAAAUGAAUCUUUUUCUCACCUAAGUUGCUUUUUCCCAGAGUGUUUUUAUCACAGCAACAGAAUGGAACUAGGACAGUUAUCAAACACGAAUUGGUGAGAGGCGUAUUUGCACUUUCCCCAUCUUGUUUCCGUAAGGAUACAAAUUAUGCUGAAAUAAAAGGAACUUUACACACUGACUAUGGAUGUCUACCAACAUACAUACAUGGAUUUCCACACAUGCAGGCACACACACUUCAGAUUAUCCAAAUAAGUUCUGUAUGAGUACUUAGAUUUACUUAAAAAUGCUGGCAUCAGGAGGUACUUGCCUUUCACUACAGAUAUAAUUCUAAGAGUUGCUGAUUAUUCAUAAGCGAGAAAAGACUGACAGUGACAAGUCUAAGUAGACACGGAAACAGAGUGAUGAUCUGCAUUUGGCUGGCCCUGACUCUUUCCUGUUGUCUGUCGAGGCACAAUGCACAGGCACACACACUCAGCCCAGAAAGAAACCCACAACACAUCACAGGAAAGAUUCGGUCAAAGCUGUGAUGAGCCAACUUGCUUACUGGAGUUACUCAUAGGAACAGUGUAGUUGGCCUUUUCUCUGGGCCACCAACCUCCUUCCAAAUAAAGACACAGAGACUUACUAUUAAUUGUGGGUGCUUGGUCUUAGCUUAGGAGUGUCCUACUAGUUCUUUUACUUAAUUUAACCUGUUCCUAUUCAUCUGUGUUUUGCCUUAGGGU